rnacentral:lncRNA from 1 species
GACGACUGAGAGGAACGCAGCAGUGCGUGCGGACUAAAUUCAUCAUGUUUCAUCUACAGAAUAUCGUUGCCUUCAUAAUAAUCUCUGCCUCUAUUUGUCAGGCUCAAGCCGGUGGUCAACAGGCAUCUUCAGAUACAGCUAAAGUCACAUUACAGCCGUGGCUGGUGGGACUCACAGCAGUUGUUGUUUUUCUCUUUAUUGUCUUCGUCCUCCUCAUCGUGCAAAGACUCUUUUUCAAGAAAGACAAAGAUGAGCUAGAAGAAAGGCAUUCAUUUUAUGAAAACAAAGCAGCUGAUCUGGAGGCAAAUGAGGAGACCAAGCAGACCACUUUCUAAUGAGAAGAACAGAUGAUCACAGUCCUGCAGCACACAACUCUUUCUCUCUCUGGAAAUUAUGCCACAACUUUGUGCAGAGUAAUUAUAAUACUAUCUUAUGUAAUAUAUAUUUUUAACGUUAAUUUUGGUCUUUUUGUUUUAGUCUUCAUAAGUGUUGUUCCUCACAUCAUCCACUAGAUGGAGCAGACUUCACCUAGUCACAGCUUUAAACUAAAGUUAAAAUAAAAAAAGGUUCAAAUAAAGUGGUGCUCUCUCUCUCUCUCUCUCUCUCUCUCUCUUUUAAUUAAUUUAGAUUUUUUUUGGCAUAUUCUCAAUACACGUUUUACUACUUUGCUGUUAGGGUAGUGAGAACAUUGGAAUAGAAGAGCACACGCUCAGUGAUUCACAUCAUGCACAUAAUGCUCUGAUUAACUGGCUUUUGACUCAUAUGACAUGUCUGGGUUCUGCAUGCAUAUAUGCUAAAUGGACAUGGGUAUGAGAUCCACUACUCAUUUUGACUGGCAGUUUGGACAUGUUAAAUGCUUCCAGUCAAAUGAUGUAACACAGUUUUACUUUUGAAACCAUUUGCUCGUCUCGGGGGAUUGAUUAUAUGAUGAAAAUAUCAUUUGCAGAAAAAAUGGCCAGGUGUCCAAAUGUGUUAAUGAUGGAGACCAUUAUAGUACAGCGUUAAAGCUGGCGUUGCCUAAAUGAACAAUCUGAUUAGUAAGACUAUUGAGCUGUUAGUGAUGAUGUAAUAAACUCCCAAACGCAUGCUUUUUAUAUGGGUUAAAGGGAAACGCUUCCAGUUUUACACUCUUAAUGUGAACUUAAGAACUGCUGGUAUUUCGUAACAUUUUAAUUAGACAGCUGAUACUGUUGCCCUGGCUGCAUGUGCUUCUCAAGGUUUCCCAUACAUGGGAAACAGUUUAGCUGAAACAGUGCUGAUGAGUGACAGUAACUAAGCCUACAGUCAGCAGCAAUAAGUGAAGCAUGAAACCAGAGAGAGAGAGAGAGAGAGAGAGAGAGAGAGAGAGAGUGAGAGAGAGGGAGAGAGAGAGAGACUUCUUUCUUCUCUUUCUCAUUCACCACUGCUGCCUUGGAAUUUUUAUUUGGUUGUUUUUAUUCUGGUUCCUGAG